rnacentral:rRNA from 1 species
UACGGAGGGUGCAAGCGUUAUCCGGAUUCACUGGGUUUAAAGGGCGCGUAGGCGGAUUGAUAAGUCAGUGGUGAAAGCCCCAAGCUCAACUUGGGAAUUGCCAUUGAUACUGUUAAUCUUGAGUGCGGUUGAAGUGGGCGGAAUAUGACAUGUAGCGGUGAAAUGCUUAGAUAUGUCAUAGAACACCGAUUGCGAAGGCAGCUCACUAAGCCGCAACUGACGCUGAGGCUCGAAAGCGUGGGGAGCAAACAGG